GAUGAACGCUGGCGGCGUGCCUAAUACAUGCAAGUCGAGCGAACGGACGAGAAGCUUGCUUCUCUGAUGUUAGCGGCGGACGGGUGAGUAACACGUGGAUAACCUACCUAUAAGACUGGGAUAACUUCGGGAAACCGGAGCUAAUACCGGAUGAUAUUUUGAACCGCAUGGUUCAAAAGUGAAAGACGGUCUUGCUGUCACUUAUAGAUGGAUCCGCGCUGCAUUAGCUAGUUGGUAAGGUAACGGCUUACCAAGGCAACGAUGCAUAGCCGACCUGAGAGGGUGAUCGGCCACACUGGAACUGAGACACGGUCCAGACUCCUACGGGAGGCAGCAGUAGGGAAUCUUCCGCAAUGGGCGAAAGCCUGACGGAGCAACGCCGAGUGAGUGAUGAAGGUCUUCGGAUCGUAAAACUCUGUUAUUAGGGAAGAACAUAUGUGGAAGUAACUGUGCACAUCUUGACGGUACCUAAUCAGAAAGCCACGGCUAACUACGUG
rnacentral:rRNA from 1 species